AUUGAACGCUGGCGGCAUGCCUUACACAUGCAAGUCGAACGGCAGCGCGGGGCAACCUGGCGGCGAGUGGCGAACGGGUGAGUAAUAUAUCGGAACGUGCCCUGGAGUGGGGGAUAACGCAGCGAAAGUUGCGCUAAUACCGCAUACGAUCUAAGGAUGAAAGCAGGGGACCGCAAGGCCUUGUGCUCCUGGAGCGGCCGAUAUCUGAUUAGCUAGUUGGUGGGGUAAAGGCCUACCAAGGCAUCGAUCAGUAGCUGGUCUGAGAGGACGACCAGCCACACUGGAACUGAGACACGGUCCAGACUCCUACGGGAGGCAGCAGUGGGGAAUUUUGGACAAUGGGCGCAAGCCUGAUCCAGCAAUGCCGCGUGAGUGAAGAAGGCC
rnacentral:rRNA from 1 species